GCGCGUGAACAAACGGGUGGCAGCUAUGAGGGUUAGUGACAGAUCUGCCUAAGAGCACCAUGCGGGCCACCGACGACCGCGGAGCCAGUGAAUUUCCUGUCGCGAGCCCCGUGCGGUCACCGGCUUGCCGCUGAGAGCUCUGGGAAAUGUAGUUAAGCGCGAGCAGCCGCCGUUAGCUGCGGGUCUGCGGCCGGCACCGCAGCUCCGCAGCUGCCUGCGGCUCGGAUCGUCCUCCCACGUCCACAGUUCAGGAAGCUUCUGGAACACACGACCCCUCUGCAAUGGAAGCAAGAUCUGCAUCCCCAGCUUCAGACGUGUUCUUGGAGCCCUGACCAAAGAGUUCACCUCGAAUUGGGAACCUUCUGAAAUAUACCCGCGAGGGACCUCAAGUAGAACCUCUGGAGAAGCUGUGCAGCACCCAUGCCAAACAAUACCACAGCGCGUUCAGGGACCCUCCACUGGCUUCAGGAUCUCCUGGAAGAAAAACUAAGCCAUGUCAUUCCAGGGAAAGGGGCUCCAGACAGGACGGAAGAGGGAAGAGCCAUCCAGAUCUAACAUUUGAAGGUGAGCCACAUCUUGUCCUUUGCGUUCUCCAUGGAGCCUUCAAGGACGGUGCUGGGGCUUGGUAGCUGUGUCGCUAUGGACACUGUGGCAUAAGGAGAGGGCUCUGGCCAUUGGCCUUGGAAGAUGAAGCUCGCCUUUUCCAGACGGUUUCCUUUCUUUCCCUCAAGGUCGCACGGGGAGGAAGGGAAUUUCUUAUUGCUUCCUCUUCCGCCCUAUCACCCCACUCACCAGGCCCUGAAGAUCCCCCGUGAAGUGACAGGAGCCCCGUUGCCUCCCCUCUACCAAGGAGACCUCACUGCUUAGUGGGCCUUGUGCUCAGACAAAGGAAUGACCUUGGGAAAGGACACUUGAUGCGUAAACAAGAACAGGCACUGGUGUGUCUGUUUACCACACCCAGCUUGUGGGGGAAGCUGGCUGGGCUUCUAUGACACCUAAGCAGAUUGUUUAUGGCAGUAACACACAGAAUUAGUGAAGGAGGGUACUGAGCUGCCCGGCCUCCAUCCCCGUGUGAAGGUCACUCCCUUCCUUUCAGUAUACAGCUGAGAUGGGGUCUAUCUUUGUUGCUUGUAAAAAAUCUCUUGUGUCAUGGAUGAAAAGGGGGGGUGGCAAAUGUCUCUAAACCCAAGUUCUCGUAUGGCCACUGCUCCCUUCUAACCUUUUAAAGCGAGUACCUUAGGGGAUGGGGGUGUAGUUCAAUUGGUAGGGUGCACGCUUAGUGGGCCCAAAGCCCUGGGCUCCUUUUCUCGUGUUCCAUAAGCCAGCUGUGGUGGUGCAUACUUGUAAUCCCAGCACUUGGGGACAUGUGGAAAGGCCACACACAAACCCGUUUGUCUCCAGCAUUCCAUGCUCCUGUCCUGGAAGUGCACUGCUAGAAUGUAAUUUGUACUGAGUCUCUAAAACAUUCUCUCUAGUAGCAUCUAUAAUGACUGUCCCAAGGCCACUUCAAUAAGAAAUGGCACAAAUGGGUAGAGGAGGAGACAAAAGGAGAGGAAAUUUAAGCUCGGCUCUUGAAGGAACGAAGGCCUGAAGUGAGAGUACACCCUAACCUGGACACCCCAGGGAGCUCUGAAGUCUGCCCUAAAGGGGGCUUCUAGGAACCUGCUCAAGACAGUGUCUAAAGAUUUGUGCAGAUGCCCCUGGCUGGUCUUGGCAGCGCACACACCAGUGCCUCAGCAACAAGGCAUUCUCAAGUUCAAGUCAUCCUUGGCCUCAGAGUGUGCUUGAGGCCUGCCUGGGUGACAUACUCAAAAUCCUUUUUGUUGUUGUUGUUUUGUUUUGUUUUUCGAGGCAGGGUUUCUCUGUAGCUUUGGUGCCUGUCCCAGAACUAACUCUUGUAGACCAGGCUGGCCUCGAACUCCCAGAGAUCUGCCUGCCUCUGCCUCCCAAGUGCUGGGAUUAAAGGCCUGCGCCACCACCGCCCGGCCUUGAAAUCCUUUCUGAAGAAUAAUUUAAGUGUCAUGCUGGAUUCCCCUUCACCCUAUUUCCCAUUCUGAGAUCACCAGCAGGGCUCCCAGCCAUUCUUGAGGUCCCUGACUCCCCCGACACACUAUUGUUUUGUGGUUUUAUUUGUUUGUUUUUCGAGACAGGGUUUUCUCUGUAGCUUUGAAGUCUGUCCUGGAACUAGCUCUGCAAACCAGGCUGGCCUCAAACUCACAGAGAUCCACCUGCCUCUGCCUCUGAAGUAUGUGAGAGAUGCUCUUUUUCUUCUCUUUUUUUCCCAAGCACUGUAGAUAGAGUAAGGGAAGCUCUUAACACUACCUAACCUAUUAGUGCUCACAGUGACCUGGGAGUCCCAUGCAGUGUCUCGUUUAAUCUUCUCAACAAUUCUUAGAAAUAAGUCUUUGGGCCAUGUGACAGCUGAGGGAAGCAGGCGUGGGGCUUUACUCAUCUCUCAAAGCCUCGCAGCUCCUGGGUAAAGGAGCCCGGUGCCCGCCCGGACAGUCCCCAUGUUGCUUGCAGGAGAUUCCGUUUCGUUCGCUGGGAUAAGUAGCCCGCUUCCAGGACUCUGGCCUGUUUCUACAAUCUCAUCUUCAGCCUACCCAAACCUGCCCAAUCCUUUGCAAAAUCAUCUGCUCCCCAUUGAGAGACACAAGCUCCCAGCCAGCAGCAGACACUAACUUAUCUGAUCUGGGUGGAAACUGAAGGAUUCUUGAGUUGGGGCAGAUUCAGAAGCCUCCGGUUAUGCCCUCGACUCUACAAAUCAGGCAUUGUUAGGGUUGAUCUUGGCUCCACUGGGAUCUCCUGGGAUUGGCUGGAGAUCAUGGACAUGGUCCAGGUAGGGCUCUGUGUCUGGAGCCUCUACUAUGUCUUCCCUUUGGGUUCAUCUUCUCCCACCUGGGGCUGGGAUGCCGGAAAGGGCUUUGGCGGGCAGGUGCCUGGUGCCUCUACCUUUUUUAUGUGUCCACUCUCUUCCUCUUGUGCUGUCUGGGCUGUCCGAGCCCACGCUAGGACUAUCCCUCUCCACUGCACUCCACUUUACCUGGCCUCUCUCUAGCCAGUGCCACCUAAGGCAGUCAUAUACGAAAAGAUUCUGCCUCUGUGCAUGAGUUCUCUUCUUUGGACCAGAAUCUAAUGCAGGCUGGUCAGCAACUUUUAAAGUCAUUUGACUGAAAAACGGAAGGAAAUCCAGUCAGGCCGGUUAGAUUAUCUUGGAAUCUGAACCUGAAAUCUGACUCACGGACAGUAUGUAACAAGGUGUUAUGACGGAAAGUAGGGCUUUGAUGGGCUAAUGUUCUGGCCACAAUCACAAUGGAGAAAGUUAGUGAGGAAAUAGGAAACAAGUCUGUGAUAUGGGGAAGAUCCACUUCCUGUGGAACAAAGGAAAAGGAGAGAACGCUCAGAGCUGGCCAUGACUAGUGAGCCGCCUGCCUCACUGCCCUGUGCCCCACCAGGCCCGUCCUCGCCUGUCUGUGUCACUGGAGCAAGCUCGUAUUGUUUGCUUUUGCUGUUAAUUGACUUAGAAGUGGCCGUGCGAUUCAGUUCUGCUAAUAGACUUAUGGGGAGACCAGGAUAAGAUGAGAGAAGGAACCUGUGGUUCCUGACGACACUGUUGAGCCACCACACCUGCCUGCCUUAGGAGACUGCCCUCCCGAGUCCCGUCCUGCCCCUGUGGCCUGGAACAUCCCUCAGCUCUUCACAGAACUUCGCGGCCUCCCUGCCCCUCCCUGUUGUUCUGUGGGCCUCUCUGAAAGGAGGAAACACCCCCAGCUGCUUUUCUUCCUAAAUGUUGGGAGAAAUCCGGCUCAGAUGGUAGAAAAUUGACAGGAACAAACCAACCUCCGCGAUCAGUCAUAACCCUUCAGGCUUACUGGACAAGACCGGGAAGGAUAAACAGUUCUGGAAAUUUCCAUAGGCAUGAACCCAAGUCUUCUCAGACAGGGCUGAGGCAUAACUUUUUAGAAGAAAAAAAAAAGACACUGGGGGGGGGCAGUAGUGGAUGUUAGUGCCUGAGACCCAGAAUGGACCGGGCGAGUGACCUCCGACGGCAGUGUCAGUACCUGCAGCUGUUGUUAGCAGUGCACAGGAGCUCGGGAGCAGUCUGUGGCACCUGGAGCCAGCAGGUGCAAAGGCCGUGGUCAGGAGCCAGCCCGAGUGUUUUCAGAUGGUCCUCUUGGGAGGAACAGCGCCAACCGGUGCCUGCUGCCCUUCUCUAUGCUCGGGUAUAUGUCAUCUUCACUCCUCACCUCUUCUCUCUCGCUCCCUUUUUUCUUCUACCUUUUGUUCAAGUGAUGAAGGCAGGAGCCAGAAGUGUGAGCCACCAACCUGCAUCCCUUUCAGGAAGCUAAGCCCUGGGAGAUGGGGAGGCUGGGGGUGUGGUUCGGUUGGCAGAGUGCUUGCCUAGCUGGCACAAAGCCCUGACUUUGAUCCCCAGUACCACAUAAACUAGGCAUGGCUGUAUGGGCUUGUAAUCCUACCCCUUGGGACUGGAGACAGCAGAGCAAGAUCAAUGGAGAAGCUGGAUUCAAGGCCUGGCCCCUCCCCCUUGAAACUGUGUUUUCUAAGUGAAAGGGCUAGGCUUCUGGUGCCUGAUUUGAAGAUGACAAACACCCAUUGCCCCGUUACAAGGAGACUCUAGCAAGAGCUGCUCUCUCUCUGGGGCAUCAGUGAGAAGCUGUGACAUAGACUGACACCAGCCCUCAGGGCGUGCCUUGUGCACCCCAGGGAGCGUGUGGAGCCAAAUGCCGAGGCCAGUAGCUCACAGCUGUCUAGUGUAGACUUCAUUCGCUCGAUGAGAAUAGACUAAAACCAGCCAAGUGAAUCUCAGCUUGUAAAAGGGACAAGGAAGGUGAGUCACACAGAGGGAAAAAACUCCUGUGAGGCAGAAAAGGAGCAAAAGCUUGGGCUGGGAGUGAAAAGGCAAAAAAGAAACGUUUAAAUGUGUCCCCCUCCUCGAUAAUUUUUUGUAUAUAUAGUGCCAGAGAUUGAACCUUGGACCUCACACAUUCUGGAAAGUUUUCUCUCACUGAGCCAUGCCCUGGUCCCUCACUAGGGGAUUCUAGGCAGGGGCUCUACCACUGAGUCACACCCCAGCCCCUCACUGGGGAUUCUAGGCAGGUGCUCUACUGCUGAGCCUCUUUUGACUGUUGAUUUUGAGACAAGGUCUUAUUGAGUUGCCUAGGCUGGCCUGAAUCUCACUCUGUAGCCCAGGCUGGCCUUAGACUCACAUCCUUUCUCCUGCUUAGCCUGCUGAGUCACUAGGAUUAGAUUUGCCUCAAGACUGCAACAGACUCACCAAGCUAUUGCUGACACUUGGAACCCAAAGUCUCCCCCACUCCCAAACCCAGGAAGCCUCCCUAUAGAGAUCACAGCUUUGUAUUCUCCUACAUCCAAUAAAGGGAAGCAUCAGCUUUCCCUGCUUCUUCACACAAGGGCUUCAUGCCAUGAGGUGAUGUGGUUAAGGCCCCCCCCACCAACCUUUAUGGGUGCCAUUUCAUUCCUGUGCAUUCUCUGAUGAGAAGCCCAGAGCCAUCCCUGCAGGCCAGUUCCUCUUGCAGCUUCCUCUCCAAGCAAACAGCCACCCUGAACACGCACCCCCACCAGCUUCUCCUAAGGGUAUUGUCAUAGCCCUUAGUUAUGACUGAUUUAGGGUUCAGAUGACUUAGCUGAUAGUGUCUGACAUGAAGUAGCCCGCACAGUCUGUAGGUUAGGAUUCUGACAAAGGCUCUUCACCCCUCAUUAUCUCUCCAGGGUCUCUGUCUGCUACACAAUCCCGGCCGUCUAAUUAGCUCCAAAGUACUAGGGAAAGGGAUUGAUUGACAUACCUUCCCUAGCGUAGGGCUUUUCCCCAGUGUGAAUUCUCUGACAUUGAAUGAGUUUCCUGAUCUUGAAAGCCUUCAGGCGGUCACUGUGGUGGGUCUCUGUUGAGUGGAAAGGAGUGAGGGUACAUGGGGAUGCUGACUGGUGCCUCCCACGUCCACAGGAUGUUCUCCAAAGUAGAUGUAAUGAUGUUCGGAAGAUUGGGAGCCUGCAUGAAAACUGUUUUGUGUUUACGACAGUCACUGCUGUUCCCGCCAGU